rnacentral:lncRNA from 1 species
CCUCAAGUGAUCUGCCUGCCUUGGCCUCCCAAAGUACUGGGAUUACAGGCAUGAGCCACUACGCCCAGCCGAGCCUCAAUUUUUCUUAUCUGUAAAAUGUGAACAAUAAUAUUACCUUCCUCAUUAUAUGAUUGUAAAGACAAAACAAGAUAAUGCAUAUGAAGUACUUAGCAGAGUGCCUGCCUACAGAAAGGACUCAGUGUUAUUGUUACUGGUUUUCUUAUCAUUUUUUGUAAUCUUUUUAUUUAUUUUAAAGAGAAAAUGUAGAAUAUUAAUCCAGAACGGCAUUUAUGAUUUAUCUUCUGUAAACUUUAAAAUGGAGUCGGUGAGCUACAAUACUCUGUGAUAAAUAUUUUUGAACAUGCUUUCAUUGUCAUGUAACUCCUCAGAAUCAAUAAAGAUAUUAUCAAUUCACACAUGCCCAGGAUAUAAUAUCUUAAAUGCUGGCCACCUAGCCCCACUGGUUCACAACAGCUGAACCCAAAUUGUUUCUUUCUGUUAGGAUCUUAUCUGGACAUUAAUCCCUACAGCAAGUGGGAGGGAAGGGCAGGGCCUUUUUUUUCCCAGAGGUGCCGUCAGUGAUAAGAGGAGAAUGAAGAUUCCUAAUCGAUUCCCAUCAAGGAGGCUACAGGGGUACUUGAGAGGCAAUGGAAAGGUCAUUAAGGACACUUUGGGGUAAUUUAUGGGGUCUCAUUAUCUUUUCUCCCAAAAAUACAUAAAAUCUGGCAAACUCUUCAUCUGUUUUGGAAUAAAAAUAUCUAAGAGAAUAGAAUUUCUCUUAGGUUUUCAUCAACCAUGUGGCCCCAUCUCCCCUGGAGAUUUUGGCCAGGUGUGGUGGUUCACAUCUGUAAUCCCAGCACUUUGAGAAGCCGAGGCAGAAGGAUCACUUGAGGCCAGGAGUUAGAGACCAGGGUGGACAACAAAGCGAGACCCCUCCGCCCCCAAAAGUAAAAAAUAAAUUAGCUAGGUGUGGUGGUGCGUGCUAGUAGUCCCACCUACUCAGGAAACUGAGGUGGGAGGAUUGCUUGAGCCUAGGAGGUUGGGGCUGCAGUGAACCAAGAUUGCACCACUGUACUCCAGGCUGGGUGACAAAGCAAGACUCAGUCUCAAGUAAAUAAAUAAAUAGGAGAUUUUCUCUUUGCUACCAUUCCUAACUCGAAUGGCCCAUUUGUAAAAAAUAAGCAGAAGGUGUAAUUACAGAGAUAUUAUUCAUGUCUUAUAUUUCUAAGGUCCAGCAUCUCUCAAUAUGUGUUGUGCACAAGUAACUCAGCAAAUAGGGUUCUAGGAGGAAAUAAGUGUGAGGACAUUUAACACUAUUAUUAAGGACAUCUUGUUGUUGUCUCCCCAGCAUAGUUCCCUCACCUUCCGUUUUUCUUUGGGGACUCACCCUCCCCUACACUCUGACUCUAGAAUCUGGCUAGAGUGUCAUCCCUCCUUCUAGGAGUGGAGCCUGUGGUCUAGGCCUCAGUCAAUCAGCAAGUCAUAUUUCCCUAGUCACAGUGACUGGUUCAGAGGUGAGUAUGU